rnacentral:rRNA from 1 species
UACGUAGGGGGCAAGCGUUGUCCGGAUUUAUUGGGCGUAAAGAGCGUGUAGGCGGCCUGGUAGGUCAGCUGUGAAAACUCGAGGCUCAACCUCGAGCUGUCGGUGGAAACUGUCUGGCUAGAGUCCGGAAGAGGAGAGUGGAAUUCCUGGUGUAGCGGUGAAAUGCGCAGAUAUCAGGAAGAACACCUAUGGCGAAGGCAGCUCUCUGGGACGGUACUGACGCUGAGACGCGAAAGCGUGGGGAGCGAACAGG